GACGAACGCUGGCGGCGUGCAUAAUACCUGCAAGUAGAACGCAGUUGCUAACGUGUGAGUAACGCGUAGGUAACUGCCUCAUAGCGGGGUAUCACUAUUGGAAACGAUAGCUAAUACCGCAUACUGUGAGAUGGACCUGCGUUGUAUUAGCUAGUUGGUGGGGUAAAGGCUCACCAAGGCGACGAUACAUAGCCGACCUGAGAGGGUGAUCGGCCACAAUGGGAGUUGGAUACAGCACAGACUCCGACGGGAGGCAGCAGAAGGGGAGCGGCGGCAAUGGACUGAAGUCUGGCAGAGCAACGGGGCGUGAGUGAAGAAGGUUUUCAGGUUGUAAAGAUCUGUUGUGAGAGAAGCGGUAAAUAUCCAGAAAGGGACGGCUAACUACGUGCCAGCAGCCGCGGUAAUAC
rnacentral:rRNA from 1 species